rnacentral:rRNA from 1 species
UUCGGGAUGCCGGCGAGUGGCGAACGGGUGAGUAACGCGUGGAUACCUAUCCUAUAGUGGGGAAUAACGUUUAGAAAUGAAUGCUAAUACCGCAUAAGCCCUUUGGGGGAAAGAUUUAUCGCUAUAGGAGGGGUCUGCGUCGGAUUAGCUAGUUGGUGGGGUAAAGGCCUACCAAGGCGACGAUCCGUAGCUGGUCUGAGAGGAUGAUCAGCCACACUGGGACUGAGACACGGCCCAGACUCCUACGGGAGGCAGCAGUGGGGAAUAUUGCGCAAUGGGGGAAACCCUGACGCAGCGACGCCGCGUGGGUGAAGAAGGCCUUAGGGUUGUAAAGCCCUUUCAGUAGGAAAGAUGAUGACGGUACCUACAGAAGAAGCUCCGGCUAACUCCGUGCCAGCAGCCGCGGUAAUACGGAGGGGGCUAGCGUUGUUCGGAAUUACUGGGCGUAAAGGGCGCGUAGGCGGUUAUGCAAG